rnacentral:misc_RNA from 1 species
UCGUAACAAGGUCUCCGUUGGUGAACCAGCGGAGGGAUCAUUACCGAGUUUUCAACUCCCAAACCCCUGUGAACAUACCAAUCGUUGCCUCGGCGGGAGAGCCCCGGGCGUUGGCGAAAGCCUCGCACCGGUAUCAGGCGCCCGCCGGAGGACCCAAACAAACUCUUGAAUUCUAAAGUAUCUUCUGAGUAACAUAAGUUAAAUAAAUUAAAACUUUCAACAACGGAUCUCUUGGUUCUGGCAUCGAUGAAGAACGCAGCGAAAUGCGAUAAGUAAUGUGAAUUGCAGAAUUCAGUGAAUCAUCGAAUCUUUGAACGCACAUUGCGCCCGCCAGUAUUCUGGCGGGCAUGCCUGUUCGAGCGUCAUUUCAACCCUCAAGCCCAGCUUGGUGUUGGGGAUCGGCACAGGCGCCCUCGGGCGCCAGCCGUCCCCUAAAUCUAGUGGCGGUCCCGCUGCAGCCUCCUCUGCGUAGUAGUUUUCUCCUCGCAAGGGCAGCUCGGUGGCGACCUCGCCGUAAAACCCCCAACUUCUGAAAGUUUGACCUCGAAUCAGGUAGGAAUACCCGCUGAACCUAAGCAUAUC